rnacentral:rRNA from 1 species
AGAGUUUGAUCAUGGCUCAGAUUGAACGCUGGCGGCAGGCCUAACACAUGCAAGUCGAACGGUAACAGGAAGCAGCUUGCUGCUUUGCUGACGAGUGGCGGACGGGUGAGUAAUGUCUGGGAAACUGCCUGAUGGAGGGGGAUAACUACUGGAAACGGUGGCUAAUACCGCAUAACGUCGCAAGACCAAAGAGGGGGACCUUCGGGCCUCUUGCCAUCAGAUGUGCCCAGAUGGGAUUAGCUAGUUGGUGAGGUAACGGCUCACCAAGGCGACGAUCCCUAGCUGGUCUGAGAGGAUGACCAGCCACACUGGAACUGAGACACGGUCCAGACUCCUACGGGAGGCAGCAGUGGGGAAUAUUGCACAAUGGGCGCAAGCCUGAUGCAGCCAUGCCGCGUGUAUGAAGAAGGCCUUCGGGUUGUAAAGUACUUUCAGCGGGGAGGAAGGUGUUGUGGUUAAUAACCACAGCAAUUGACGUUACCCGCAGAAGAAGCACCGGCUAACUCCGUGCCAGCAGCCGCGGUAAUACGGAGGGUGCAAGCGUUAAUCGGAAUUACUGGGCGUAAAGCGCACGCAGGCGGUCUGUCAAGUCGGAUGUGAAAUCCCCGGGCUCAACCUGGGAACUGCAUUCGAAACUGGCAGGCUUGAGUCUUGUAGAGGGGGGUAGAAUUCCAGGUGUAGCGGUGAAAUGCGUAGAGAUCUGGAGGAAUACCGGUGGCGAAGGCGGCCCCCUGGACAAAGACUGACGCUCAGGUGCGAAAGCGUGGGGAGCAAACAGGAUUAGAUACCCUGGUAGUCCACGCCGUAAACGAUGUCUACUUGGAGGUUGUGCCCUUGAGGCGUGGCUUCCGGAGCUAACGCGUUAAGUAGACCGCCUGGGGAGUACGGCCGCAAGGUUAAAACUCAAAUGAAUUGACGGGGGCCCGCACAAGCGGUGGAGCAUGUGGUUUAAUUCGAUGCAACGCGAAGAACCUUACCUGGUCUUGACAUCCACAGAACUUUCCAGAGAUGGACUGGUGCCUUCGGGAACUGUGAGACAGGUGCUGCAUGGCUGUCGUCAGCUCGUGUUGUGAAAUGUUGGGUUAAGUCCCGCAACGAGCGCAACCCUUAUCCUUUGUUGCCAGCGGUCCGGCCGGGAACUCAAAGGAGACUGCCAGUGAUAAACUGGAGGAAGGUGGGGAUGACGUCAAGUCAUCAUGGCCCUUACGACCAGGGCUACACACGUGCUACAAUGGCGCAUACAAAGAGAAGCGACCUCGCGAGAGCAAGCGGACCUCAUAAAGUGCGUCGUAGUCCGGAUUGGAGUCUGCAACUCGACUCCAUGAAGUCGGAAUCGCUAGUAAUCGUGGAUCAGAAUGCCACGGUGAAUACGUUCCCGGGCCUUGUACACACCGCCCGUCACACCAUGGGAGUGGGUUGCAAAAGAAGUAGGUAGCUUAACCUUCGGGAGGGCGCUUACCACUUUGUGAUUCAUGACUGGGGUGAAGUCGUAACAAGGUAACCGUAGGGGAACCUGCGGUUGGAUCACCU